GGCUCUGUGGCGCAAUGGACAGCGCGUUGGAUUUCUAAUUCAAAGGUUGUGGGUUCAAAUCCCACCAGAGUCA